GUCAAAACGUCAAUAAUUCAGUAUAAGCUUCAUGGCGGUCCUGUGCUGCAGUUGACGCAAGGUGACACACCCAUGCUAUUCUGCAGGUGGUCAACUUCUACGACAAGCUGAUAUCUAGCAGCUCAGAGAUUGAGUCCUCACUGUGCUACUGAACCUCAUUCCCAGCAUGAGCUCAGCCAUAGCAAUACGGUAUUGCUCUACUGUGACACCCCUCAGCAUAUAUUCAGCAAAUCAUGAUCAGCUGGAAGCUGUGUGGCAACAGCAGUAUUGUUGUAGAUGAUUUCAAGGAAGAUGAGCAGGGAGGGGUAGAGAUUGUGAUGACUACCCCGCCACAGCUAUCGGGAAUGUAGGGGGGCUGGAUCGGUGGAUCCACGGUGAUUUGGGCAAGAAUGAUGAGAUGCCAUGAUGGGUGGAAGAGAUAGAAAGGGAGCUGUGUAACCAUGACAAGGUGCUGGAGGUGAUUGCUGAUAAUCUCAGGUAUCUCAGCACAGUACACGAUGCCAUGAGCAUCAGGGGGCGGUGAGGAAACAACAAUCUAUAGGAGGUCCAGCG